UGCUGAUGCCACUGCACAGUGUACUGGUUCUUUGACGACUCUGGCGGGUGGAGGCACAUUGAAAGCUCAGGGCAGUCAUGCGGCCACUAUCUGUAACUGACAGCUCCAGCUCCUCAUCACUGGGCCGGUGAGCAAACGCCACGGAGGAGGAUUCAUUCAGCACUUCCUGUCAUCGAGACCCUCCUCAUAUUGUACUGGUCAGGCACAACCUCUAGUCCAGCCAAAGAUGGGGUUUCAGUCUCUGAACAUCUGAAUAUGUUUGAGCCAGUUAUCAUCGUUCCACAAUGAGUCCCAGGAUAAACAAGUGGAAAUUACAAGCUGUUUGAAGUUUCACUAAAUUACGAAAGGUAAUUACGGUAAAUAAAUUAAAACUGAAGAAAAGGCCAUGUCAUCUCACAAGUAUGACAAUGCAAACAAAGGCUUAUGUUUCUCCAAAUAAAGACUUUGAAAAUUAGGAAGAGGUAAUGGGCUGGGCCAAGAUCCCCAUGUGAUGGAGGAAAAAGGAAUUGUCCCCUGUAUAUUAGGAGCACCUUGUUAAAUCAGGAACUACUUGUUGAUAAGCUUGCUGACUGUUGAUGUACAGCAAAUUUGUGAUUACAGCUCUACAAUUCAAUAUUCUAACAGAUAAAAGGCCAAUAAGACACCUAAAUGACAGUAUCGAACAGUCCACUUCAACGUUUACAAUUUAUUUCACUAUUAACCACAC